rnacentral:lncRNA from 1 species
CUCACGGCCACCUGCAACUAGCUCCAGAGACUCUGAAGCUCCCUUUUGACCAGGACAGAGUUAAAGAAAAUAGCUAUGUGUGAUCAAAACAGCCAAAACCUUCAAAAAUAAACCAGCGAAAAGAAUCCCACGUGACAUUAUGAAAAGGAUUAGUUCCCUUGACCACAAUGUGAGGAUCUAAAAUUCAGACCUUCAUCAACAAGGAGCUGCCCACCCAAAGGGAAAAGGAGCUUGCUGAAUAAAUGAUCUCAAAGAAGACUUAAAAGCUACUAAACAACACGCCUGCAGUCGCAGGUCUACCGUGGGCUAACCAUCGUGAAAAUGUUUAAACAAUAAGGAACGAUACCAGAAAAAAAGUCAGUGCGAAGAGUGCAAAGAUCAAAGGUUUUCUUCCUGCGUGAUUCAAUUUGUUUAUUUAAGUUGUAGACUGCCCACCCACCACACCCCACAAAAAAGUCGGGUUCACUUGAGGGCUUCACCCUCCUGCUGUUUCCUUUGCAGUGAGGCUGCAGGCACAGGCUGUAAUCUGUUCAUUGAGCAGAAAGCAACUGAGUGAGACACAAGCGCCUCUGGCACCCCGUGAAACCACAAGAGAGCAGAUUCUAGUUUUCCCAUGUUCUAACACAUCUUUUCAAAGCUGUUUUUCUUCAAGGGCA